rnacentral:lncRNA from 13 species
AUAUUUUAACAAUAUUAAUUUAGAAAUGUCUAAAUUUUUCUACUCUAAUUUAUUUACAUCCAAUUUAGGGGUUGAUUAGUAAUACAGUAAAAACUUACUCUCACAUUAAAUCCAUUAUAUUGUUGAUUAUUCAAAUAGUUUCUGAGCUAAAGAGCUGUGUCAACCAUUGGCCUGGUGCAAGGUCCAUCAGUAUAAUAUGAUGUAUGUCUGUCCCUGAAGACCUUAAUCUUCCUAGUGAGACAGAUUAUCAUGCAUAAAACUUUCAAUGAUACCAGCUUUUUUUUUUUUUGAGAUGGAGUCUCGUUCUGUUGCUAGGCUGGAGUGCGUGAUCUUGGCUCACUGUGAUCUCUGCCUCCCCGUUUCAAGCGAUUCUCCUGCUUCAGCCUCCUGAGUAUCUGGAUUAUAGCAUUAGCCUUUUUCUCCAGCACCAAGAGUGUGCAGGGCAAAAGCCUGUGAAAGAGAGGAAGCAGUGUAAGGUACUGUGGGAAGUGUUCUAAGUCUGGGGCUCAUGAUCCUCUAAAAUACAUGGAUCUUCAAGUCUACAGACAAGGAAGUAAUUUGAGUUCAGCAUAUAUCAUGUCAAGAGAGGAUGCCAUCUGUUGCUCUGAAGAAGAAAUUCUUGCCUUCCCUCCACUCCCAUGUGUAUUCAGGUGUGUAAGAAAUGGUCUGAUUGUCUUACACAAAUAAAUGUGUAAAGUACAAGAUCAUUUUUGGUAAAUGGGAAAUAGAUGAAAGGAGAAGAUGGGGGAAAUCCCAGGACUGUAACUCUUAGAUUCCUUAUAAAACUAUUGCCAACUUUCUACAAAGUCUCCAGGUGUUUUAAGGUGGCAACAUUUUAACAGAAUAAAUUAUACCUGUAAAAAUUUGCCUUAAAAGGC